rnacentral:lncRNA from 1 species
AAGAGAUGCACAGCUGGGCUUUCAGGCACGUAUUUCAUUUAGUCAUCAUGACAACUCUAUGACAGAUGGCUUACUAACAUUACCAUUUAAUGGUAGAAACUGAAACAAUGUGAUAAUGCCGGUGCUCACGUGGCUACAGUGGCCACAGUUCAAGCUCAGAGUCAUUUAUUUCUAAGUCCUUUGCUCAGGUCACUCUUCUAAACUCCUGGAGCAUCGCUCUGAACUUUUUGCUACCUCAGUGUUUCCCACUGGGUCUGAAGUUAGCCUACUGGCCAGCAAGCCCUAGCUACCCUCUUGACUCCACCUCUCUGGGAUUACAGACCAGCAGGAACUAACUAACAUGUUACUUGCAUUUAAUUCACUUGAAACAUAUAUUUUAUUAUUUUUUUUGUGUGUGUUUUGCUCUAAGAAGAAACAGAAUAAAAUAAGUUAAACCAAGCCAGAGCUGAGCUGAGUGGCUCAGCUGGCAGGCACGCAGCAGCUGCACCUACAGCUCUCCUGUAAAGAUUUGGAUCUGAAGCCAGUAUUUGUAAUCAAGGCGAAGAGCCCAAUAAAAGGAUGGUUUUGGACAAAAUAUCUCAUUUUCUUUAAGCACA